CCUACGGGAGGCAGCAGUGGGGAAUAUUGCACAAUGGGGGAAACCCUGAUGCAGCGACGCCGCGUGAGUGAAGAAGUAUUUCGGUAUGUAAAGCUCUAUCAGCAGGGAAGAAAAUGACGGUACCUGACUAAGAAGCCCCGGCUAACUACGUGCCAGCAGCCGCGGUAAUACGUAGGGGGCAAGCGUUAUCCGGAUUUACUGGGUGUAAAGGGAGCGUAGACGGCAGCACAAGUCUGGAGUGAAAUGCCGGGGCUUAACCCCGGAACUGCUUUGGAAACUGGGCAGCUAGAGUGCAGGAGAGGUAAGUGGAAUGCCUAGUGUAGCGGUGAAAUGCGUAGAUAUUAGGAGGAACACCAGUGGCGAAGGCGGCUUACUGGACUGUAACUGACGUUGAGGCUCGAAAGCGUGGGGAGCAAACAGGAUUAGAUACCCCUGUAGUC
rnacentral:rRNA from 1 species